GAAGCAUAUUUGGCCCAUGUGAUAUAGACACCCAAGUAGGGAGUCUAGAAUUGAGGGAUAUUCCUAUUGUAUGUGAUUUUUCGAAUGUUUUUCUUGAAGAAUUGUCAGGAUUAACUCCGGAAAGAGAGGUACAGUUCGAAAUUGAGGUUAUUAUUCCUAGUGUGGAACCAAUCUCCAUUACUCCAUAUAGAAUGGCAUCGGCUGAGUUAAAGGAGUUGAACAUGCAGUUGGGGAGCACCUUUUCAUCUAUGUAUCGACUACAGAUAGUUGAAUAAGGUGGUCAUAAAGAAUAGAUAUUCAUUACCUCGAAUAGAUGAUUUGUUUGAAUAGUUGAAGAAUGCAGCUAUAUUCUCCAAAAUUGAUUUGAGAUUGGGUUAUUAUCAGUUGAGGAUGCAGGAGUAGAGCAUUUAAAAAACUUCUUUCAGGACUCGCUAUGGCCACUACGAGUUCUUAGUAAUGCCAUUCAGAUUGACUAAUGCUCUAGCUGCUUUUAUAGACCUGAUGAUAUUCAGGCCAUAUUGUCAAAAUGGUAUUGCAAACUUUAAGGGAGAAAUAGUUGUAUGCCAAAUUGUCAAAAUGUGAAUUUUGGCUGAAAGAA
rnacentral:misc_RNA from 1 species